UGAGGAAUAUUGCGCAAUGGGCGAAAGCCUGACGCAGCGACGCCGCGUGGAGGAUGAAGGUUUUCGGAUUGUAAACUCCUGUUAAGUGGGAAGAAACGACAAAAUAUAAUACAUUUUUGUAACUGACGGUACCAUUAAAGAAAGCACCGGCUAACUUCGUGCCAGCAGCCGCGGUAAUACGAGGGGUGCAAGCGUUAUUCGGAAUUAUUGGGCGUAAAGGGUGCGUAGGCGGCGUAUUAAGUCAACUGUUAAAACCUCCAGCCUAACUGGAGAUCAGCAGUAGAUACUGGUAUGCUAGAGGAUGGAAGAGAGAAGUGGAAUUCUUGGAGUAGCGGUGGAAUGCGUAGAUCUCAAGAGGAACACCAAUGGCGAAGGCAGCCCCCUGGGCCAAUACUGACGCUCAUGCACGAAAGCGUGGGGAGCAAACAGGAUUAGAUACCCUGGUAGUCCACGCCCUAAACGAUGUCAACUAGUUGUUGGGGAUUCAUUUCCUUAAGUAACGUAGCUAACGCGUGAAGUUGGACCGCCUGGGGAGUACGGUCGCAAGAUUAAAACUUAAAU
rnacentral:rRNA from 1 species